AGAGCACACGGAGGAUGCCUAGGCUUUUGGAGGCGAUGAAGGACGUGGUAAGCUGCGAAAAGGUACGGGGAGGUGCUAAACAACCAUUGAUCCGUAUAUUUCCGAAUGGGGCAACCCGGCAUCUUGAAGAGAUGUCAUUCAGGACGUUAGUUCUGAAAGCAAACCCGGUGAACUGAAACAUCUUAGUAGCCGGAGGAACAGAUAACAACAGUUAUUCCCUUAGUAGAGGCGAUCGAACGGGGAAGAGCCCAAACCAAAUGUGUCGUAAGGCAUAGUUGGGGUUGUAGGACUACAACAUAUGUUGACUUAUACAGAAGUGGAACAGUUUGGAAAGACUGACCGUAGAGGGUGAAAGUCUCGUACACGGAACAAAAUCGUAUAAGUUGAUUAAGUAGCACCUGAGUAGGACGGGGCACGAGAAACCUUGUCUGAAUCCGCCGGGACCACCCGGCAAGGCUAAAUACUCCCAAAAGACCGAUAGUGAACCAGUACCGUGAGGGAAAGGUGAAAAGUACCCCUGUUAGGGGAGUGAAAUAGUACCUGAAACCGUGUGCUUACAAGCGGUCGGAGCGGCUUAGUGCCGUGACGGCGUGCCUUUUGCAUAAUGAGCCUACGAGUUAUCUUCAAUAGCAAGGUUAAUUGACUCAGUCAAAGAGCCGAAGCGAAAGCGAGUCUUAACAGGGCGUCGAGUUAUUGGAGGUAGACGCGAAACCAAGUGAUCUACCCAUGGUCAGGGUGAAGCUGUGGUGAAACACAGUGGAGGCCCGAACCGGUAAACGUUGAAAAGUUUUCGGAUGAACUGUGGGUAGGGGUGAAAGGCCAAUCAAACUUGGAAAUAUCUCGUACUCCCCGAAAUGCCUUUAGGGGCAGCCUUGGAGUUAAGUGUUAUAGAGGUAGAGCUACCGAUUGGAUGCGAGGGUUUCACCGCCUAUCAAUUCCUGACGAACUCCGAAUGCUAUAACAUAUAUCUAGGAGUGAGGCUAUGGGUGCUAAGGUCCGUAGCCGAGAGGGAAAUAACCCGGACCAUCAGCUAAGGUCCCCAAAUGUAUGCUAAGUUGUUCUAACGAGGUCGAACUGCACUGACAGCUAGGAUGUUGGCUUGGAAGCAGCCAUUCAUUUAAAGAGUGCGUAACAGCUCACUAGUCGAGCGGUUCGGCAUGGAUGAUAAUCGGGCAUAAGUAUACUACCGAAGCUAUGGUAUCGAAUUUAUUCGAUAGGUAGGGGAGCAUUCUAACGGCGUAGAAGCAGUUUGGCGAUGAACUGUGGAGCUUUUAGAAAAGAAAAUGUAGGCAUAAGUAACGAUAAAGAAAGUGAAAAACUUUCUCGCCGAUACUCUAAGGUUUCCUGAAUCUAUGCUAAUCAGAGCAGGGUUAGUCGGGACCUAAGGCGCACCCGAAAGGGGAAGUCGAUGGUAAAUCGGUUAAUAUUCCGAUACUACCUAUAUCAGUGAUGGGACGACGGAGAAGUGAUAAGUCCGCGUACUGACGGAAUAGUACGUUGAAGGGUGUAGAUAUACGAUUUGUAGGCAAAUCCGCAGAUUGUGUCGAACCUGAUAGUACCGCGAGCUAUUCAUAGCGAGUGGAUAGUGACUGUAAACCUGCUUCCAAGAAAAACCUCUAAACGUAUGAUAUAGGUACCCGUACCGCAAACCGACACAGGUAGAGUGGUAGAGAAUACCGAGGCGUUCGAGUGAAACGUGGCUAAGGAACUAGGCAAAAUAACCCCGUAACUUCGGGAAAAGGGGAGCUCCAAGCAAUUGGAGUCGCAGAGAAAUGGCCCAGGCGACUGUUUAGCAAAAACACAGGGCUAUGCCAAGCCGAAAGGUGAUGUAUAUGGCCUGACGCCUGCCCAGUGCCGGAAGGUUAAGGGGGGGGGUUAUCCGUAAGGAGAAGCUCUGAACUGAAGCCCCGGUAAACGGCGGCCGUAACUAUAACGGUCCAAAGGUAGCGAAAUUCCUUGUCGGGUAAGUUCCGACCUGCACAAAUGGCGUAACGAUCUGGGCACUGUCUCAGCCACGCGCUCGGUGAAAUUGUAGUUCCGGUGAAGAUGCCGGAUACCCGCAGCGGGACGGAAAGACCCCGUGAACCUUUACUAUAGCUUAGCGUUGGUUUUUGGUAUCAGAUGUGUAGGAUAGGUGGGAGACUAUGAAGGCGGGACGCUAGUUCUGUUGGAGUCGUCCUUGAAAUACCACCCUUUUGAUAUUGGAAAUCUAAUCUGCAGGAAGCGGAGACAGCGUUUGGUGGGUAGUUUGACUGGGGUGGUCACCUCCAAAAGCGUAACGGAGGUUUUCAAAGGUACCCUCAGCACGAUUGGUAACCGUGCGUAGAGUGCAAUGGCAUAAGGGUGCUUGACUGGGAGACCGACGGGUCGAUCAGGUACGAAAGUAGGACAUAGUGAUCCGGUGGUUCCGAGUGGAAGGGCCAUCGCUCAAAGGAUAAAAGGUACUCCGGGGAUAACAGGCUUAUCACUCCCAAGAGCUCACAUCGACGGAGUGGUUUGGCACCUCGAUGUCGGCUCGUCACAUCCUGGGGCUGGAGUCGGUCCCAAGGGUUAGGCUGUUCGCCUAUUAAAGUGGCACGCGAGCUGGGUUCAGAACGUCGUGAGACAGUUCGGUCCCUAUCUGCUGUGGGCGUUAGAAAUUUGAGAGGACCUGUCCUUAGUACGAGAGGACCGGGAUGGACAAACCUCUAGUGUACCAGUUGUUUCGCCAGGAGCAUCGCUGGGUAGCUAUGUUUGGAAGAGAUAAGUGCUGAAAGCAUCUAAGUACGAAGCUCGCCUCAAGAUGAGAUUUCUUUUAAGGGUCGUCAGAGACGAUGACGUUUGAUAGGUUGCAGGUGUACGCAUAGUGAUAUGUUUAGCCGAGCAAUACUAAUAACCCGUAGACUUUUGC
rnacentral:rRNA from 1 species